UACGAAGGGGGCUAGCGUUGCUCGGAAUCACUGGGCGUAAAGCGCACGUAGGCGGACUCUUAAGUCAGGGGUGAAAUCCUGGAGCUCAACUCCAGAACUGCCUUUGAUACUGGGAGUCUCGAGUUCGGGAGAGGUGAGUGGAACUGCGAGUGUAGAGGUGAAAUUCGUAGAUAUUCGCAAGAACACCAGUGGCGAAGGCGGCUCACUGGCCCGGUACUGACGCUGAGGUGCGAAAGCGUGGGGAGCAAACAGG
rnacentral:rRNA from 1 species